AGUGAGGAAUAUUGGUCAAUGGACGCAAGUCUGAACCAGCCAUGUCGCGUGAAGGAAGACGGUUCUAUGGAUUGUAAACUUCUUUUAUACGGGAAGAAUGUUCACUACGUGUAGUGAUUCGACGGUACCGUAUGAAUAAGCAUCGGCUAACUCCGUGCCAGCAGCCGCGGUAAUACGGAGGAUGCAAGCGUUAUCCGGAUUCAUUGGGUUUAAAGGGUGCGUAGGCGGAAGUAUAAGUCUGGGGUGAAAGUUUGUGGCUCAACCAUAAAAUUGCCUUGGAUACUGUAUUUCUUGAGUACAUUUGAGGUAGGCGGAAUGUGUUGUGUAGCGGUGAAAUGCUUAGAUAUAACACAGAACACCGAUUGCGAAGGCAGCUUACUAAACUGUAACUGACGCUGAUGCACGAAAGCGUGGGGAUCGAA
rnacentral:rRNA from 1 species